UAGGCCUACGGGGGGCAGCAGUGGGGAAUAUUGCACAAUGGGUGAAAGCCUGAUGCAGCAACGCCGCGUGAAGGAAGACGGUUUUCGGAUUGUAAACUUCUGUUCUUAGUGAAGAAUAAUGACGGUAACUAAGGAGCAAGCCACGGCUAACUACGAGCCAGCAGCCGCGGUAAUACGCAGGUGGCAAGCGUUGUCCGGAAUUACUGGGUGUAAAGGGAGCGUAGGCGGGAAGCCAAGUCAGCUGGGAAACCUACGGGCUUAACCUGUAGACCGCAGCUGAAACUGGCUUUCUUGAUUGAAGUAGA
rnacentral:rRNA from 1 species